rnacentral:rRNA from 1 species
UGGGGAAUUUUGGACAAUGGGCGCAAGCCUGAUCCAGCCAUGCCGCGUGCGGGGAGAAGGCCUUCGGGUUGUAAACCGCUUUUGUCAGGGAAGAAAUCUUCUGAGUUAAUACCUCGGGAGGAUGACGGUACCUGAAGAAUAAGCACCGGCUAACUACGUGCCAGCAGCCGCGGUAAUACGUAGGGUGCAAGCGUUAAUCGGAAUUACUGGGCGUAAAGCGUGCGCAGGCGGUUUUGUAAGACAGAGGUGAAAUCCCCGGGCUCAACCUGGGAACUGCCUUUGUGACUGCAAGGCUUGAGUGCGGCAGAGGGGGGAUGGAAUUCCGCGUGUAGCAGUGAAAUGCGUAGAUAUGCGGAGGAACACCGAUGGCGAAGGCAAUCCCCUGGGCCUGCACUGACGCUCAUGCACGAAAGCGUGGGGAGCAAACAGGAUUAGAUACCCUGGUAGUCCACGCCCUAAACGAUGUCAACUGGUUGUUGGGAAGGUUCCUUCUCAGUAACGUAGCUAACGCGUGAAGUUGACCGCCUGGGGAGUACGGCCGCAAGGUUG